CCUACGGGUGGCUGCAGUGAGGAAUAUUGGUCCAUGGGCGCGAGCCUGAACCAGCCAAGUCGCGUGAGGGAAGACGGUCCUAUGGAUUGUAAACCUCUUUUGUCGGGGAGCCAAAGACGCCACGCGUGGCGUUCCGAGAGUACCCGAAUAAAAAGCAUCGGCUAACUCCGUGCAAGCAGCCGCGGUAAUACGGAGGAGGCGAGCGGUAUCCGGAUUUAUUGGGUUAAAGGGGUGCGCAGACGGAAGAUCAAGUCAUCGGUAAAAUUGAGAGGCUCAACCUCUUCGAGCCGUUGAAACUGGUUUUCUUGGGUGAGGGAGAAGUAUGCGGAAUGCGUGGUGUAGCGGUGAAAUGCAUAGAUAUCACGCAGAACUCCGAUUGCGAAGGCAGCAUACCGGCGCUCAACUGACGCUCAUGCACGAAAGUGUGGGUAUCGAACAGGAUUAGAUACCCCAGUAGUC
rnacentral:rRNA from 1 species